rnacentral:rRNA from 1 species
AUUGAACGCUGGCGGAAUGCUUUACACAUGCAAGUCGAACGGUAGAGGGGGCAACCCCUCGAGAGUGGCGAACGGGUGAGUAAUAUAUCGGAACGUGCCCAGUCGUGGGGGAUAACGUAGCGAAAGUUACGCUAAUACCGCAUACGAUCUACGGAUGAAAGCGGGGGAUCGCAAGACCUCGCGCGAUUGGAGCGGCCGAUAUCAGACUAGGUAGUUGGUGGGGUAAAGGCUCACCAAGCCAACGAUCUGUAGCUGGUCUGAGAGGACGACCAGCCACACUGGAACUGAGACACGGUCCAGACUCCUACGGGAGGCAGCAGUGGGGAAUUUUGGACAAUGGACGCAAGUCUGAUCCAGCCAUUCCGCGUGCAGGAUGAAGGCCCUCGGGUUGUAAACUGCUUUUGUACGGAACGAAAAGGUUUCCAUUAAUACUGGGAGCUCAUGACGGUACCGUAAGAAUAAGCACCGGCUAACUCCGUGCCAGCCGCCGCGGUAA